UAAACAUUGGUUCCUAUAUGCUCACCGAAGUUAAGAAUAGUCGAGCUUGGUCAGUACAUAGACGGGUGACCGCUUGGGAAUAUCAUGAGCUGUAAG